UACAGAGGUCCCAAGCGUUGUUCGGAAUUACUGGGCGUAAAGCGCGCGCAGGCGGGUCAUCAAGUCAGAGGUGAAAUCCCAGAGCUCAACUCUGGAACUGCCUUUGAAACUGGUGACCUUGAGUACGGGAGAGGUGAGUGGAAUUCCCAGUGUAGAGGUGAAAUUCGUAGAUAUUGGGAAGAACACCGGUGGCGAAGGCGGCUCACUGGCCCGUAACUGACGCUCAGGCGCGAUAGCGUGGGGAUCAAACAGG
rnacentral:rRNA from 1 species